CGGAGCGCGGCGCUCCGCACCUUGACCGGCGGCACCGGGCGGGCCGGGCCGGGGCGGCUCCGGUACCGGGGGCGGGCGCCGCUCUUUGACCCUCGGGUUGGUCGGGGAGCCCGGUUUUGUCGGGAAAGCCGGAUCCGCGCCGGGAUGCGGACAAAGACACGGAGCAGCUGUUCGGGAAUAAAGCUGAAAUAGUAGAACCUGGGAGAGAAGUUAGCUUGGGGGAGCUAUUAUUUUCGCCGCAAAACCCUCGGGAGGUAUUAAACAGCUGCAUCCAAACGACGGAGCGACCCAAAGGCCGGGAUCCCACCGCCUCGCCGUCGAGCAGCGGGCGCGUGGCUCAGCGCACGGCCGCAGGUUCCUCUGCAAAGAGCAGCGUAGCAGAGCGGUUGGGAGAGCUGUGCUGGACAGAGGACGGCCGGCCGCGAGCGGAGCCUCCCACCGGCGAGCAUUGCCAGGCGAGGAGAGAAAACCUGGGCAGCCUUAAAACACUCAGAGUGUAAUGUGACGCUUCCAAACCUUUGCAGCCUGCGGUAAGCCGAGGGAAGCAAUGAGUAACCUUUGCUUUCAAGUGAAAACGGUGCGGUGGUAACAUCCCGAUGGAGCCCGUGCGCAUCGGGCAUUGUUUGGAAUUCUUGCCAUAUUUUAACCUCUGCCGUGUUGGCUGCUCGCAGGAACAAGCUGAGCGCUCCGAGAUAACACUGCGUUUUGUCAGAUGCUUUAUAACGUUGUUUAGAGACGUGCUCGGAUCUAUUUAGUGCUUCAUAAAUAUGAAUAAAGCGUUUACAAAAGGCACGUCACCGCAGAAGUAACCGUGGAUUAUGCCAGCUGCUCGCAGUUUACACGUUACAAAUUUCCUAAACUGUUCUGAACUACAUUUUACCGGGGGCGUUUUUACCCGCGAUUAAAUACAACUCAGCGCUGCCCAGCAAAUAUCUCUGUUGAUUUAUGUAUAGGAAAUCGGGGAAUCAGCAUUGGCCCAAACCCCAAAUUACUGCUGAAGCAGUUUCAAAUAUUUAUGGACCUGUUAUGGGAGGAGAGAGGAAUGUCAUGUUUUUUUUUUUCCCAAGGCCUCGCUGUGCGCAGACCGAUUUUCUCAGCCGUUUCCGCCCCGGGUGCGGGGUGCCCUGCAGCCCCCCCAGCACAGAUGGGUUUGUGAUGUGAUUGCUGUGCUGUUGGCUGCAGGACAGUGCGGGUUGCAGCCCUGGGUUGCUGUAGGCUCAGCCAUGGUAGUGUGGUUGCAAUCCUGCUGCCCUCCGGCCCUCAGUGCUUUUGUUUGUCCUGGAAAAACGCAGCGCGGUCCCGCAAGGCCUUGCGUUUGUGCUGGGCAUGAAUUUUGCACUGGCGAAAGUCUGCUCGAGGAGCCUGAAGACGCACCAUCCCCACUUAUCGCCCCAGAGGCAGGCUAUCUAGCUGACAAGCUGUGCGGUGAAAAACCAGGUGCCCAUGUGCCUGCUGCUCACCCAAGGCCUGAAAGGGAUCAGCUGCUCAUUUUGCAGAGCAAAGAGUGCUUUCCUGGUGCCAGAUUUCAUCUGAAAUUGGUCCUAUGCUGAACAAGUUGGGGCCACUGAGAAGCAGAAAGUGGAUGAAGCAAGAUCCUAAAAGGGAAAGACCAAUGUUUUAUUUACUACAAUAAACCCUAAACCCAGGUUUAUCACUAACUAGUCGUAUUUUCUGUUUGUGUUUGUCUUUGUGGUUUGACAUUUGCUCAUGCUGUGAUAGCUUCAUCAAAAUACAUUUUUUAGAAAAAGCA
rnacentral:lncRNA from 1 species